UAGAGUUUGAUCAUGGCUCAGAUUGAACGCUGGCGGCAUGCUUUACACAUGCAAGUCGAACGGUAACGCGGGGGCAACCCUGGCGACGAGUGGCGAACGGGUGAGUAAUACAUCGGAACAUGUCCUGGAGUGGGGGAUAGCUCGGCGAAAGCCGGAUUAAUACCGCAUACGCUCUGAGGAGGAAAGCGGGGGACUCGCAAGGGCCUCGCGCUGCGGGAGUGGCCGAUGUCGGAUUAGCUAGUUGGUGAGGUAAAGGCUCACCAAGGCGACGAUCCGUAGCUGGUCUGAGAGGAUGAUCAGCCACACUGGGACUGAGAUACGGCCCCGACUCCUACGGGAGGCAGCAGCUAARRAWYYUKGCGCAAUGGGCGAAAGCCUGACGCAGCAACGCCGCGUGGGGGACGAAGGUCUUCGGAUCGUAAACCCCUUUUGCGAGGGAAGAAGUUCUGACGGUACCUCGCGAAUAAGACACGGCUAACUACGUGCCAGCCGCCGCGGKAAUUC
rnacentral:rRNA from 1 species